rnacentral:rRNA from 1 species
GAUCAUGGCUCAGGAUGAACGCUAGCUACAGGCUUAACACAUGCAAGUCAGGGGCAGCAUGGUCUUAGCUUGCUAAGAUUGAUGGCGACCGGCGCACGGGUGAGUAACGCGUAUCCAACCUUCCCUAUAGUAGGGGAUAGCCCGUAGAAAUGCGGAUUAAUACCCUAUGUUGUAUUUUGAGGACAUCUGACGAAUACCAAAGGUUUACCGCUAUAGGAUGGGGGAUGCGUCUGAUUAGGUUGUUGGCGGGGUAACGGCCCACCAAGCCUACGAUCAGUAGGGUUCUGAGAGGAAGGUCCCCCACAUUGGAACUGAGACACGGUCCAAACUCCUACGGGAGGCAGCAGUGAGGAAUAUUGGUCAAUGGGCGAGAGCCUGAACCAGCCAAGUAGCGUGCAGGAUGACGGCCCUAUGGGUUGUAAACUGCUUUUAUGCGGGGAUAAAGUGAGGGACGUGUCCCUUAUUGUAGGUACCGCAUGAAUAAGGACCGGCUAAUUCCGUGCCAGCAGCCGC